rnacentral:rRNA from 1 species
UACGGAGGGAGCUAGCGUUGUUCGGAAUUACUGGGCGUAAAGGGCGCGUAGGCGGCCUGUUAAGUCGAACGUGAAAUCCCCGGGCUCAACCCGGGAACUGCGUCCGAUACUGGCAGGCUUGAAUUCGGGAGAGGGAUGUGGAAUUCCAGGUGUAGCGGUGAAAUGCGUAGAUAUCUGGAGGAACACCGGUGGCGAAGGCGGCAUCCUGGACCGAUAUUGACGCUGAUGCGCGAAAGCCAGGGGAGCAAACGGG